GCCGAUGUAGCUCAGAUGGUAGAGCAAUUGUUUCGUAAGCAAUUUAUAGAGGUUCAAUUCCUCUCAUCGGCU
rnacentral:tRNA from 1 species